UUACGGUCAUGGUACGUUCAAACACCUGUUCUCGUACGAUCACCGAAGUUAAGCAACGUCAAGUCUGCUCAUUGCCUAAAUGGGCGACCAUUUGAGAAUCCCAGGUGUCGUAAG